UACGUAGGGAGCAAGCGUUGUCCGGAUUCAUUGGGCGUAAAGAGCUCGUAGGCGGCUUGAUAAGUCGGAUGUGAAACCUCCAGGCUCAACCUGGAGUCGCCAUCCGAUACUGUCAUGGCUAGAGUCCGGUAGGGGCCCACGGAACUCCUGGUGUAGCGGUGAAAUGCGCAGAUAUCAGGAAGAACACCGAUGGCGAAGGCAGUGGGCUGCCGGUACUGACGCUGAGGAGCGAAAGCGUGGGGAGCGAACAGG
rnacentral:rRNA from 1 species